rnacentral:rRNA from 1 species
UACGUAGGGUCCAAGCGUUAUCCGGAAUCACUGGGCGUAAAGCGUGCGUAGGUGGCGUGUUAAGUGUGAUGUUAAAUCGUGGGGCUCAACCCUAUCGAUGCAUCGCAUACUGGCAUGCUAGAGGGAAGCAGAGGCAAGUGGAAUUUGUAGUGUAGCAGUGAAAUGCGUAGAUAUUACAAGGAACACCAAUGGCGAAGGCAGCUUGCUGGGCCGAUACUGACGCUGAGGAGCGAAAGCGUGGGGAGCGAACAGG